UACGGAGGGUGCGAGCGUUGUCCGGAAUCACUGGGCGUAAAGGGCGCGUAGGUGGCGUCGCAAGUCAACGGUGAAAGCUCGACGCUCAACGUCGAGUCGGCCGUCGAGACUGCGAGGCUUGGAGCACUGUAGAGGCAGGAUGGAAUUCCGGGUGUAGCGGUGGAAUGGCGUAGAGAUCCGGAAGAACACCGGUGGCGAAGGCGGUCUGC
rnacentral:rRNA from 1 species